rnacentral:rRNA from 1 species
CGCGGCACAGAGGGCAGCUACCUGGUGACAGGAUGCUAAUCUCGAAAACCGGUCUCAGUUCGGAUCGAAGUCUGCAACUCGACUUCGUGAAGCUGGAUUCGCUAGUAAUCGCGCAUCAGCCAUGGCGCGGUCGAAUACGUUCCCGGGCCUU